rnacentral:piRNA from 1 species
UCAUUCUGUACACCAGGCUGGCCUUGAACA